CCUGCCGGUGAGUGAUGAAGCCCUAGGGUUGAAAGCUCUUUCACCGGUGAAGAUAAUGACGGUAACCGGAGAAGAAGCCCCGGCUAACUUCGUGCCAGCAGCCGCGGUAAUACGAAGGGGGCUAGCGUUGUUCGGAAUUACUGGGCGUAAAGCGCACGUAGGCGGAUUGGUCAGUUAGGGGUGAAAUCCCGGGGCUCAACCCCGGAACUGCCUUUAAUACUGCCAAUCUAGAGUCCGAGAGAGGUGAGUGGAAUUCCGAGUGUAGAGGUGAAAUUCGUAGAUAUUCGGAGGAACACCAGUGGCGAGGCGGCUCACUGGCUCGGUACUGACGCUGAGGUGCGAAAGCGUGGGGAGCAAACAGGAUUAGAUACCCUGUAGUCCACGCCGUAAACUAUGAAGCUAGCCGUCGCAGU
rnacentral:rRNA from 1 species